CCCAGGGCCCGAGGGCCGCGGCGGGGCCGGGGUCCGGCGGGCCGCGGCAGAGGGGCCCGGCCGGGGCCGGUUCUCUUCGCCAGCGCCCCGCCUGCGCGGGAGUAGGGGGUGGUCUGAAAGCAGCGCGGCCGUCUGCCGGGAUGGCCGCGGAUCCUCCAAAUAACUUAACUUUUUUACAUCUCUCUCUUUCUAUAUGUAUAUAUAUAUUACACAAGGAUAAAGCACACGCAUUUUGCAAAAGCUAAAAAGACGUUUGGAAAUAAUUUUCAAGUGCUCUCCGGAAGCACUGCCAAGCUUUGCAAGCUGGGUACCCUUUACUCACGGUGGUUGUGCCAGUGCAAGUGAAAUCAGAAGAUGGGAAAGUAGGAGAGGGUGCUGAGCUGUUUGGUUUUGUUGUUUUUCGACAUCAGGUCUAGAUGAAUUCAAAUUUAAAAAUGCUGCGGAUGGUGGAAAGUAGAUGGAAUUAGAGUAUUUUACUAAAAGAUGGAAAAAAUGGGAAUGCAUUAAUUGUGGAAACAAAAGAUUGAUAUAUUUUCCUAAAGCGAUUUCCUACUUUAUUACAUUUUUCCAGGCUUCAGCUAGCAGGGAGAAAAAUUAACACACACACACACAGAAACUAUAUUUUUCUACUUUUUUCCAAAUAGCCUCCUGUUUUCCUUGGUUAGGAGUUUAAUUUUGGUAAAAAUUUGCAACAUUUUAGGUGUUACUUGAUUAAUCAAAUCAAUACUUACUAGGCAUUUUAUUUGGUGAUUACUGAGUAGUUCAGUGAGUGAAGCAGCCGGCUGGGCAGAGACCAGCUCCCAGAGAUACCUGGUCCCAGCCGCACGCAGUGAAUGGUGGGACAGAGGCUCCUGCGCAGCUUCUCCCCGUCCCGCUGGCACUGUGACUCCUCCAUUGUUCGAUGCAGCGUGAAACAGGCCACAGAAACCUGUUGAGAUGAUGUUUUCCUCUUUUGGCUUUGGUAGUGAAAAAGUAUAAUUCCCAAAACAUGUAACUAACUUGACUCUUGUAUUUAGGCUGCGUUUUAAAAAGCUCCCCUCCUUUUUCCCAGUUCUUCAGUCUGAAAAUUUCUUCCUGGGUGGGCCUGAAGAGCACUACUCAUCUUCACAUUAGUGCACCCAUCGCCAUCCUCUCCAACCGUGGGUGUCCCCAACUGCUGAUCAGUGAUCUCAAAGGGAUGGACUCCACAAGUGGCUCGCAGCUAAUACUUCUGAGGGGGCUUUAUCUCCAGUGUUUGCAAUUCCAUAAAAUACAUAUAUGUCCUCUUAACUCUACUGUUCUCUGGGAUCAGGGAAAACAGGAGAAUGCUCACUGGUUGUGUCUAAACCAGCGGGCAUGGGAUAAGAUCUGAGGCAUGAUCCUACCCAGGUUUCUGUCUAGUAGCACGUUCAUGUGCUUCCACAAGCCAUCUAGUCUGGACAUUUGGACCAGAAAAGCAAGGUGUUCAUCUGCCCUGUCAUCUAGCUGAAAUAGGCCCAUGAUAACUGUCUUUGCAGUUUUCGCAUUGAUUAAAAAAAAAUGAACCAAUUGUAUUCCUCUGUAGCUUGCCUUCAAAGCCAAUUUUGAACUGCCACAUGAGUAACAAAUUCAGAAUGUUUUGACUAUUUUAAUACUUGCUGAAUGCCAUCAAAUGUUAUAUAUAUAUGUUUUAAUUUAGGGAGGACUCCAACAUUCAUUGUGCAGUCUGCCUACGACAAUGGGUUCUGAAACCUGAUUAGGACUUUUAAAUAGUGUAAGCAGUUUACGGUAUGAAGGACUUCAUUUGUUAAAAGCUGUCAAGACACUAGCUUGGAUUGUGAACAACAGAUUUGGAACAAUUGUGUUGACUGUCCUGUCCUAAAUUAGACUGAAUAAAAUUGCAUUCUGUUAUAA